AUCGCUUCUCGGCCUUUUGGCUAAGAUCAAGUGUAGUAUCUGUUCUUACCAGAUGGACACUUCAAGAGAAGAGAUUCGGUUGCCGACCACGAUGGUGCGGCUGAAAAAUACUGUCAGAGUUCAAGUGAAGAAGGAAGCUGAAAUGGAGAUUAAGAAGAGGUUUGGACGGGAUUUCGUCGUUGUCGAGGUGUUAAGAGGAGUUUUUGGAAUUCCUGCGUCCCUGAUCUUUU
ensembl:snRNA U2 U2 spliceosomal RNA